AUUGAACGCUGGCGGCAUGCCUUACACAUGCAAGUCGAACGGCAGCACGGGAGCAAUCCUGGUGGCGAGUGGCGAACGGGUGAGUAAUAUAUCGGAACGUGCCCAGUAGUGGGGGAUAACUGCUCGAAAGAGCAGCUAAUACCGCAUACGACCUGAGGGUGAAAGGGGGGGAUCGCAAGACCUCUCGCUAUUGGAGCGGCCGAUAUCAGAGUAGCUAGUUGGUGGGGUAAAGGCCUACCAAGGCAACGAUCUGGAGUUGGUCUGAGAGGACGACCAGCCACACUGGGACUGAGACACGGCCCAGACUCCUACGGGAGGCAGCAGUGGGGAAUUUUGGACAAUGGGCGCAAGCCUGAUCCAGCAAUGCCGCGUGAAGGAAGAAGGCCUUCGGGUUGUAAACUGCUUUUGUCAGGGAAGAAAUCCUCUAGGUUAAUACCCUUGGGGGGAUGACGGUACCUGAAGAAUAAGCACCGGCUAACUACGUGCCAGCCGCCGCGGUAAAAC
rnacentral:rRNA from 1 species